CUUGGCCUGGAGCAGGUGAACGGGGAGAUGUCCUCCAAAGCUCCCAUUGUUCCACGGCUCCCAGAGCCCGCCUGCAGCCUGCGGUGUUUUGUUUGUCUGCUCUUCCCCUAAAUGCUCACUUGGGAGCCGUCAAAUAAAACCUCAAUUAGCGCACUUAGGACACGAAGGGCGGUGUGGGAUGUGUUCGCUGGCAGGCAGCGUUCAUUCCCUGGCAGGCAGAAUUCCCUGGCAGCGUUCAUUCCCUGGCAGCAGCAUUCCAUCCAUCGCAGGAUCCUGCUGCUCACACCCAGCCCCGACCCCAGCAUCGCUGCUGCCCCGCCAGGGUCCCAUCGCCAUAGCCACACCACCAGUGCAUCCAGGCUGGCUCUGACACAGGAGCACCCGUGGGGAUGCUCACAACACAGCUUGUGUCCAAUACUCGGGCUUUUUGGAGCUUUUCUCUAAUGUGCAGCACAAGGGAGCUGCUGCAGUAAUUGCCAGCGACAACAGGUGUUGUAGCAGUGCUCUGAACCACCUUGAGAGCUCCACGGGGGAGGUUUUGUUCCUGUUCCACUGCCAGGUAGUUACAGCUGUCUGGUAACAGGGUAGAUAGAUGUCUGUCUGUGGUUUUCAGCAUCAGCCAUCCAAGCCAGGGCUGGUGCUUGGCCCCUGUGCUCCCCAGCCCUCAACUCCCAUCAUGUCCUGCUCCCCAGCCUGGCUCUGCUCCUGUGGCUGAAAUCCAGCCCUUGCACACAAGGGCUGUUUCUGACCCAGCAGGAUGCACAAACACGGGUGACAAUUGGCAUAGGAAGAUGCAGAGUGAUGGGUUAGGGAUCCUCUGUUUUGGUAGAAGCCCUGAUUGGGAUCCAUCACUGUGAUCACAAAUCUCAUGUCCAGUGUGACACUGCAAAAGCUGAGACCCAGACCAGCCCUCUCUGACUCGUUUUGCUUGACUGGUGCUGGAAAAAGAGGACUUGCCACCCAAACCUUCCCUCCCUUUCAGAAGCUGCUCUGAAUAUUCUACUCAGAGGCUUAGUGACUAAGCCAUUAAGCUUCUCCCUGUAUGUGAAAAGUCAAAAUAAAAUUAGUCUUUUACAAAUACUGGUGCAAUAGAAAAAAAAAUAAUUUAAGUCUAAUUAUUUCCAAGACCAGGGCAUGGGGCAUGGGACAAACUUUGGACAGAGACUGGGACCAGGGCAGCUGAAAGAGCAACUUAUGUGGGUCACAGCUUCAGACUGUCCUCUGAUGCAAGAGGGUGACAUGGCUACAAGCCAGGGACAGUUGAAAAGUAAUUCCCCAGGAAGAGCAGCUCUGUUUGCCCAAAGUAUAUGUAUGAAUCCCAACACUCAUGGGCACCACUGAGCUGUUAGGGGCUUGUGAGCAAUCCCCAUCCUGUGUGUCUGCUGGUGAAUGAUGUUCAGCUGCUUUUAUUCCUGCACACUUCACUUACGUGGGAGCAAGGAAUGUGGUGAUAAAAAGGCUGGAAUGAUUUCAGUGCUGGAUAGUUUCCAUUAAUAUAGUUCUUGUUAUGUAACGCUGCCAUCAUAGUACAAAGUCCAGGAGGGUGCCUUUUGGGAAGGUGGAACUUUUCUACAAUCUGCAGUCGGGGAGCAGUCAGGCUAAUGGAUUUUCAUUGCCUUGUGCUUCUGUUCAUCAUCCUAGGUGAGUUCAAAACACUCUUGCCUUUUUGUGUUCUCCUUUCCCUGCCCACUUGUCACAACUUCAAGUAUUUGGAGAUUAGCAAACACAUUGAUUUGCUGCCAUCAGCACCAUCUUUACUGGGGAGGAAAACACAGGGCUAAACCCCUGCACCCAGUGAUGACUUUUGGCUGCAUGAGCAUCUGUAUUUUCUGCCUGGUAGCUGCUAGUAGACAAUUCCUUACCUAGGGUGAACACUAGUUUCCUACUAUUCAGGCUGUAAUGUCCUUCAAAUUUUUUCAUUAUUUCCCCACUGGGUUCACCAAAUAUUCGUUGGGUCUCCAAACCCUCCUCUUUGUUUACAGGCUUUGCCAAGCAAGCCGUGGGGCUUUUAUUGGGGAAGGAAGGGAGGUGGCGGAGGAGGAAACUACUACAAAGCUCUUUAACAUAAACAACUUUCUCCUGAAAACUCCAGACACAGCUUGGCAGGGAACAGGUUAAAGCUAGGGGGUGAAUGGGGAGACAUUAGGGCUAAGUAAUAAAUGGCAAAUUUAUAUUGGGAGAGACACAGGGGAAGAGAUGAGCUGGCCCUAAAUGGGACCCUAAAUGGACUCUGGCUUGCUGGAAGCUCUCUGCUGCUCUGACCUCGGGGUUUGGACCUGGUUCCUCCCUAAGGCAUGCCAAAGCUGGGGGAUGCUCAGACAGAAAUCCUGCAGAACUGAUUGGGAGUCAUAUUUCAAAAGAGAAAACCCUGUGUCUGUGGUAAUUUGUUCUCCAAGGCCUCUGCUUAAGAGAUGGAAGGAUUUUCUUGAGAAGACUGAUGGAAAGAGGUGCCAGCUCAUGUCACAGAGCCCUUGGGGCAGCUGCAGCUGGGAUAACCUCUCUGGGAUAGAGACACUGUGCAAAGCCCACUGGCAAUUCACAGUGAUUAAACAAAUCUUGGUGUUUCAGGUGGCCCCACAAGAGAGCCAGGAGGGCACAGUGGGGCAGGGUUCAUGUCUGGAAGGUGAGUUUUAAACACAAGUCCUCCAUCUACAGGUGGGUUGCAUUCCUGUUGCAUCCACUGAUGAGCUGAGUCCCUUCAAAAUUCUUCUGGACCCUCUUCAGUUUUCCUGCUUCCCCAUGCACACAGCUUUGAGGAAGAUCUCUCUUUCUGCAAUCUGUCAUUUUCAUGCUGCAGUAAAUAGCUUUUUCAUCAGCUACCAUUGUAUUGUAGAUGUAAAUGCAGCACAACAGAGCCCUACAGUGUUGUGAGGUGAGUGGGUCAGAUACUGUGCUGGAACAACAAAAACACAAGGAAUGUUGAGCAGGGAAAAAAAGCUUGUUAAUAAAAUGUUUUAA